CCCUUAGAUGUUCUGGGCCGCACGCGCGCUACACUGAUGCAUUCAACGAGUCUAAAACCUGCUCUGAUAGGGGUGGGUAAUCUUUUGAAUGUGCAUCGUGAUUGGGAUAGAUGAUUGCAAUUUUUCAUCUUCAACGAGGAAUGCCUAGUAAACGCAAGUCAUCAGCUUGCAUUGAUUACGUCCCUGCCCUUUGUACACACCGCCCGUCGCUCCUACCGAUUGAAUGAUCCGAUGAAUAUCAUGGAUUGAGGAUGCAAGUAGGUCAGCCUAUCUUCAUCUUCGAGAAGUGAAGUAAAUCUUAUCAUUUAGAGGAAGGAGAAGUCGUAACA
rnacentral:rRNA from 1 species